CCUAGUAACGGCGAGUGAAGCGGCAACAGCUCAAAUUUGAAAUCUGGCGCAAGCCCGAGUUGUAAUUUGUAGAGGAUGUUUCUGGCGACGUGCCUUCCGAGUUCCCUGGAACGGGACGCCAUAGAGGGUGAGAGCCCCGUACGGUUGGAUGCCUAGCCUCUGUGAAACUCCUUCGACGAGUCGAGUAGUUUGGGAAUGCUGCUCUAAAUGGGAGGUAUACGUCUUCUAAAGCUAAAUACCGGCCAGAGACCGAUAGCGCACAAGUAGAGUGAUCGAAAGAUGAAAAGCACUUUGAAAAGAGGGUUAAAAAGUACGUGAAAUUGUUGAAAGGGAAGCGUUCAUGACCAGACUUGGGCAGGUUGAUCAUCCGUGGUUCUCCGCGGUGCACUCUGCCUGCCCAGGCCAGCAUCAGUUCGCCCCGGGGGAUAAAGGCUCUGGGAAUGUGGCUCCUCCGGGAGUGUUAUAGCCCACUGCGUAAUACCCUGGGGUGGACUGAGGUUCGCGCUCUGCAAGGAUGCUGGCGUAAUGGUCAUCAACGACCCGUCUUGAAACACGGACCAAGGAGUCGUCUUCGUAUGCGAGUGUUCGGGUGUCAAACCCCUACGCGUAAUGAAAGUGAACGUAGGAGAGAGCUUCGGCGCAUCUCCGACCGAUCCUGAUGUUCUCGGAUGGAUUUGAGUAAGAGCAUACGGGGCCGGACCCGAAAGAAGGUGAACUAUGCCUGUAUAGGGUGAAGCCAGAGGAAACUCUGGUGGAGGCUCGCAGCGGUUCUGACGUGCAAAUCGAUCGUCAAAUAUGGGCAU
rnacentral:rRNA from 1 species